GAUCAUGGCUCAGAACGAACGCUGGCGGCGCGUUUAAGCAUGCAAGUCGAGCGGCAAGGGCCUUCGGGCCCCUAGAGCGGCGGACGGGUGAGUAACACGUGGACAAUCUGCCCCCCGGUCGGGGAUAGCCCAUGGAAACAUGGGGUAAUACCGGAUGCGACCGGCCGCGCACAGGCGCGGGCGAGGAAAGGCGCCAAGGCGCCGCCGGGGGAUGAGUCCGCGGUCCAUUAGCUAGUUGGCGGGGUAACGGCCCACCAAGGCGACGAUGGAUAGCCGGCCUGAGAGGGCGAUCGGCCACAUUGGGACUGAGACACGGCCCAGACUCCUACGGGAGGCAGCAGCUAAGAAUCUUCCGCAAUGGACGCAAGUCUGACGGAGCGAACCGCCGCGUGAACGAUGAAGGCCGUGAGGUUGUAAAGUUCUUUUCGGGAGGGGGAGCAACCGUGGCAGGGAAUGGCCGCGGGAUGACGUGAAUCCCGGAAUAAGCCCCGGCUAACUACGUGCCAGCCGCCGC
rnacentral:rRNA from 1 species